ACUGCUCCUGCCCAUUCUUCAUCAGUGAGGGGCUGAUGCUGGACACUGUAGGGACCGAGAAUGCAAAGUCACAUACACUACUGUGACUGAUGCACUAUUUCCAGGAUGUGGAGUAGCAUUUCCGGACCUACAGCAAGACGUUGGAUGAAGACGUAGAUUUCCAGACCUAUUCCAGAAGAAUUUGGAUGAAGGCACAGCCCCUCGAAUCACGCACAUACACAGACACAUUUGCCCAAAUUCUAGAGGUAACCUCCUUUAGUAUGCCCAGAGGAAGGGCAAUACAGUAGCCAUGGAUUCCCUACAGGUUUCCUCCCCUCUGGAGGUUUUUCCUGUCCUGAGUAUUAGUUACUGUACGCUCUUUGUGAGUGAUGGAGGUUACAAAAAAUCCCCUACACAAACAUUUUUAUAUAUAAUAAAUAAAGUUCCCCUUUUUAAACCAUU